UAUGUUCUGUCAGAGCCAGUCCUUGCCCCUCAGUGUCAGUUCUCUCAAUUCCACCAGGGCUUUCCCAGCCAGGCUCCGUCACUGAUAGAGAUGAGCCUGAGCAAAAAGAUUUGGAUCCCAACCAAGACUCUGACCCCAAAGAAUGGGGGUGCUGGGUUCCAAGGUUUUGGUUCAGGCCCAUCUCUAGUUGAUACAGUGAUAACAACAGAGCAAGGUGGUGCGGGCUGUCAUCAAAGAACCUGAUCUUCCAAUAAGUCUCGCAACACGCAAGCGUCGCCAACCUACAGAGAGACAGAAGGGGAGGGAAGGCAGAGUGCUGCUGCAAAAAACCAUUAGCAAAGGUCCCAAAGCCUCUCAGAGCAGUUUGAAAAGCCUGCCUGGCAUCCACAGCUCACAGAGAAGCAGGAAGUCAGAGUGUUUAUCUUGUGCUAUUUGGUAUUAAUUGCUGUGAUCCCGACUCGGAGCAAUGGGAUGGGAAGUUCAGUUCCUGCCCAGAAUUCCAGGAUGAGCUCCGGCUUAUAUUCCAGGUCAUAAUUGAAAGAGAAUAGUCUUGCAGACCAUCUAGCAAUACGAUAUCCUGCUCUUCCCAGUCCUUUCACGGUGAGCAACGUCGUCAAAGGGCUGUGGUCUGUGCGCAACUUGAACGUGUGGCCCCACAGAUGAAUUGGAAGCAAUUUGCUCAAGAGUCACUGGUAUAAAGAAAAGGGGUGAAACUGAAAACAAUAUUUCAGAGAAGAAAAGUCAACACACGAUGAGGCUUUUCAGAAUAAAACUGGAAACUUUCUAAAUUAAAAGAGAAAAUAAAACA